rnacentral:miRNA from 1 species
UCUGCAGGGUGGUAGGCUGUGG